rnacentral:rRNA from 1 species
AUUGAACGCUGGCGGCAGGCCUAACACAUGCAAGUCGAACGAGUGGCGGACGGGUGAGUAAUGUAUGGGAAACUGCCUGAUGGAGGGGGAUAAGUACUGGAAACGGUAGCUAAUACCGCAUACCAUAAGAUGUGCCCAGAUGGGUUGAGCUUGGGGGUGGGGUAACGGCUGACCAAGGAGAGGAUCCCUAGCUGGUCUGAGAGGAUGACGAGCCAAACUGGAACUGAGACACGGUCCAGACUCUUACGGGAGGCAUCAGUGGGGAAUAUUGCACAAUGGGCGCAAGCCUGAUGCAGCCAUGCCGCGUGUAUGAAGAAGGCCUUCGGUUUUUAAAGUACUUUCAUCGGGGAGGCGUUACCCGCAGAAGAAGCACCGGCUAACUCCGUGCCAGCAGCCGCGGUAAUAC